GAGUAUCCUCAGACCUGCUGCAAGCAUGGGGGAGAAAAAUGGAAGGCAGAGUAGCUAGUGGAAAGUGGAGAUUAGGGAGUCUCAUUUGUAGUCUUUUGUUACCCAAAACUAUUUAGAAGCUCUGAUAGAAAAGGUAGGAUCAGGUAAUUAAAUCCUCUCCCAAAGAUGGGAAGUCAUGCAGCUCUGAAAUCAGGGCAAGACUAGGACGAGAGUUCUGUCUCCCUCUUUUGUGGCAUGGAUGGACCUCAUUGGGAUGUUCUUUUUCUCCUGCUGAAAACUUCUGCCAGCACCAGGGUAUAGACAGUCGUCUGCAUGACUGUCAGUGCUGUGAUGGAUUGGAGCAGGCUGGGAAGGCAGCAAGAGGGUGGGGAACAAGGAUGGCAAGAAUGGUCUCCAACACCGUUACCACCCCGAGCUUCUAGUUCCUCUUCUGUCCCAAAAGCCAAGACAGCAUCAGCAGACUGCUCCAGCAACCCAGUGCAGCAGCCCAGGGUGCAGCACGAGAACCCAGACUGUAGCCCAGCGCAGUCCCAGGGGGCUACUGAGAUCUCCACAGCAAAGAUAGAUAAAUACUGUCUAAAUGUGUUUUGUUUUCGUUUGUUACUAUUUCCUGACCUAAGAAUGUAUGAUUACAGUCUUGGACAACCAGUACAUGACUGUGAACAAAUCCACAAGUUAGGAAGAAGUUUCUGUUUUGUGUGCCUAAACUGUAAACAUAGCAUAUAUGCAUUAUAUAUUGCAAGUGGGAAUAGAGGUAUCUGCAUAUACGUGUGUGUGUAUCAAUGUUACGAUUCCCUUUGUUGAUGAAGCACAAAUUUGGGCUCUUCUAGAAUUCUGGGCCUGAUACUUGGAUAUUUUAGCUUUAGUUCACUGUAUUCCUGCAGCACCGGAUACUCUCCAAUGCAAGCAAUGUGAUACUAAACCUUUUUCAGAGGGCAAGAUCCUGAAGAUUUGCUAUGCCCUUUCCUGACACUAGGAUCAACUCACGUAGCUGAAUCUGGCAUUCAUAUAGAUUUCAAUGUCUCUGUGGGAACUGCAUGUGCUCUUUUUAUUUUAUGCUGAGAUUCCACUAAAUUGUUCUUUGGAUUUAUUUCAAAGAAGGAGAAGGGAGAAAAAGGCAGUAAAGAUUGCUCUUCUUAUGCUUUUAGUUGUUUUUUUAACUCAAUUAUAUUUUGACAAUUCUGUAUGAAACUUUGGAGUAUGUCUUUGUUUAAGCAGUAUACCUUCCAUAGGAAUAGUCAGUUAAAUGCAUAUGGCUAGUUUCAGGCAUAACAAGCUUUGACAAGGGCAUUUAGCGGUUGUAAUUCAAAUCUAAUUCAGAACAUCUUAGCACUGGACCUGUCAAGCACUUGAAAUGCACUGUAGCUGCAAAACGAAGGGAUAUGGUCCCAGUCGUGCUCUGUGUGGCAUCAAGCUGAUGUGUCAACAAGAGCAGUUACAAUUACAGGUUCUUUCAAGCAUACUAAACUAAUUUACAGUACUCCUGAAAUUGUGGGAAAAGGCCUUGUUGGCAUGAAGGUACACAGGACUUUCAUACUGCAGAGACGAGGCAGGUGACAAGAGGGUUUCACUCAGGAGUUUCAGUAUUGCACAGUUUCAGUGCCACCUUUGGAGUCGGGGGAGGGUUUGUUAGAUUUGUAACUAGAUAUUUUGUGGAUAAUAAUAGAUUUGCCUUGCAGCCAUCAAAUACCCUUGUCAAAUCCCAUUAGAAUCACAUUGCACACUUGUUUGAAACCUCAAUCUAAAAUGCACCCAUUUGCUAAGUGAGGAUGGGGUCCUAAUUGCACUGGCAGUGACUGGUCCUUUUUGUUCGUCUAUUUUGCGUAAUAAACAGCACUGAGCCUGGCU
ensembl:lncRNA